UCACGUCUGUAGCCAUGAAGAGCUUUGAAAGGCUGGUCAUGGCUCACAUCAACACCAUUAUUCCAGAAACCCUAGACCCACUCCAAUUCACAUACUGCACCAACAGAUCCACAGACGAUGUAAUCUCCAUUGCACUCUACACUGCUCUCGCCGACCUGGACAAAAGGAACUUCUAGCCUGAAUUCAAGAGGAGAGAUAAGGAGAGAGGAGAGCGGUGGAGGGAGGUGGAGAAAAGGAAAGAGGUGGAGAGAGAUAGAGAGAGAUGGAAAGAAGGAGAGAGAUGGAAAGAAGGAGAGAGAGAUGGAGAAGGAGAGAGAGAUGGAGAAGGAGAGAGAGAUGGAGAAGGAGAGAGAGAUGGAGAAGGAGAGAGAGAUGGAGAAGGAGAGUGAGGGAGAAGGAGAGAGAAGGAAAGAUAUUGAGAAUGUGAGACAGAUGGAGAGCUGAGAUGGAGAGAAGGAGAGAGAGAAGGAGAGAGAGAAGGAGAGAGAGAAGCGGAGACAGAAAGAGAGAGAGAAGGGGAGACAGAAAGAGAUUUGAGAGGUGUGGAGGGGAGACGUGGAGAAAGGUACCCUACAUUACCAAAAGUAUGUGGACACAUGCUCUUCGAACAUCUCAUUCAAAAAUCAUGGGCAUUAGUAUGGAGUUGGUCCCCCCUGCUAUAACAGCCCUCCACUCUUCUGGGAAAGCUUUCCACUAGAUGUUGGAACAUUGCUGAGGGGACUUACUUCCAUUCAAACACAAGAGCAUUAGUGAGGUCGGUCACUGAUGUUGGGCGAUAAGGCCUGGCUCACAGUCAGCUUUCCAAUUCAUCCCGAAGGUGUUCGAUGGGGUUGAGGUCACCGAUCUCGACAAACCGUUUCUGUAUGCUCCUCGCUUUGUGCACAGGGGCAUUGUCAUGCUGAAACAGCCACAAAGUCGGAAGCACAGAAUCAUCUGGAACGUAAUUGUAUGUUGUAGGGUUAAGAUUUCCCUUCACUGGAACUAAGGGGCCCGAACCACGAAAACAUCCCCAGACCAUUUUUCCUCCUCC
rnacentral:lncRNA from 1 species